GACGAACGCUGGCGGCGUGCCUAAUACAUGCAAGUAGAACGCAGUUGCGAACGGGUGAGUAACGCGUAGGUAACUGCCGCAUAGCGGGGGAUAACUAUUGGAAACGAUAGCUAAUACCGCAUACUGUGAGUUGGACCUGCGUGUUAUUAGUUAGUUGGUGAGGUAAAGGAUCACCAAGGCGACGAUACAUAGCGGGCCUGGGAGGGGGUUCGGCCACACCGGAACUUAGACACGGCCCAGACUCCUGCGGGAGGUAGCAGUAGGGAAUCUUCGGAAAUGGACGGAAGUCUGAUCGAGCAACGGCGCGUGAGUGAAGAAGGUUUUCGGAUCGUAAAGCUCUGUUGUUAGAGAAGCAGUAACUAUCCAGAAAGGGACGGCUAACUACGUGCCAGCAGCCGCGGUAAUAC
rnacentral:rRNA from 1 species